GACAAGCCCUGGAAACGGGGUCUAAUACCGGAUGACACUUUCUCUCGCAUGGGAGAAGGUUGAAAGCUCCGGCGGUGCAGGAUGAGCCCGCGGCCUAUCAGCUAGUUGGUGAGGUAGAAGCUCACCAAGGCGACGACGGGUAGCCGGCCUGAGAGGGCGACCGGCCACACUGGGACUGAGACACGGCCCAGACUCCUACGGGAGGCAGCAGUGGGGAAUAUUGCACAAUGGGCGAAAGCCUGAUGCAGCGACGCCGCGUGAGGGAUGACGGCCUUCGGGUUGUAAACCUCUUUCAGCAGGGAAGAAGCGAAAGUGACGGUACCUGCAGAAGAAGCGCCGGCUAACUACGUGCCAGCAGCCGCGGUAAUACGUAGGGCGCAAGCGUUGUCCGGAAUUAUUGGGCGUAAAGAGCUCGUAGGCGGCUUGUCACGUCGGUUGUGAAAGCCCGGGGCUUAACCCCGGGUCUGCAGUCGAUACGGGCAGGCUAGAGUGUGGUAGGGGAGAUCGGAAUUCCUGGUGUAGCGGUGAAAUGCGCAGAUAUCAGGAGGAACACCGGUGGCGAAGGCGGAUCUCUGGGCCAUUACUGACGCUGAGGAGCGAAAGCGUGGGGAGCGAACAGGAUUAGAUACCCUGGUAGUCCACGCCGUAAACGGUGGGAACUAGGUGUUGGCGACAUUCCACGUCGUCGGUGCCGCAGCUAACGCAUUAAGUUCCCCGCCUGGGG
rnacentral:rRNA from 1 species